AAAGAAUAAUAGAUCUAUAGUUCUACACGAAAAUGUCAAGGCCUUGAUGUGUUGUGAAGCCUUGGCGCAGUGAGGGUGUGUGUGUGUGUGUGUGUGUGUGAUGGUGAAUGCUCCAGAUAGGAGUUUUGAUGGUGACGGUGAGGAAGAGGGCUUUUGGCAUGAAAGGGGGCCAGUGUGUGAUCAUGAUGUCAUUAGGAGUAUACAGUGAGACAGACUGGAGGAGGCUGCUGUACCGCGCUACACCCAAGGGACGUCAUUACCAACUGGAACUGAGCAGGGACCUGAGCACAGCUCGCCCGAGACGACAGCGUGAAAGCUGCUGCCAGCGAGAGUGAUCCCUCCCUGCCUUUUUUUCCUGACACCGCCGUUUGAUGGAGAUCUGAACCGUCCUGACUGAUCGGCGCUCACUGAUACGCCGUCCAAUGACAUGAGCGUCUCCCAAGCUCGCAGACAGCGUCCCAAACACGAUCCGCGACAGAGACGGAGGCGUGUUUCCUGUGUCGGGCCGAGAAGGAAAAAAAAGAAAAAAAAACCCCAAACUGACAGAAAAAGCAGAGGACGUGGAUAUACAUUUCAAAAAACUAACUUUUAUUAAAACAAAAAAACAAAAAAACAAAAAAAUCAAUUAUUGACUCAUUAACAAGAUUAUAAAACAGUGAUUUAGUUACAUAAAUAAAUUGAUAUCGGUGUAUCAAAUCUUAAUUUCAUAAGCAUGUAUACAUGGGUCAUUGUAAUAAAUAAAAUGGGAGAGCAGAAGAUUCCUACACAAACAAAAAGAAAACAAAAGAAAUAAAAACAAAACAGCUAGAAAGACUCAGAGGAAAUUGUUUCUGAAGAGAACAAGAGACACUGGACAACGUAUUUUUUUUCACCAAACACACGUGAGGAAUUGCUUUGUUAAAGCAUGAGUUACACAGCCAUUCACUUACUAAUUAAGGACACUAAAGCUGGGACCAAGGUGGGUUGUCUCUCACCUCUUAGAACGCGUUUGGUUGUUAGAUAGAUCUCCUGUUUGGUUACUUUAAAGCGUUAAGACAAGGCAAGAGAAAAGGCUGCUUUUAUCUUUAAUAAAACGAACACAAGAUAGAAAAAGGAUGCACGGAGAGAACGGAAAAAAGUCGGACAUGUAAAAAAAGAAAAAGGCAAGUGAUGAUAGGACAGCUGAACAUUGCGGAGGAGACACUGGAAGUUCUGUGGCGAAUAAAAGGGAGCCUCAUUUUUUAAUCUCAAUGUGAGUCUUGAUGAGUUGCACAAUUAUGAAAGUUACCGUGACAAAAGUUACGUUACUGCAAAAAAAAACAAAAAACAAAAUGAGGCAGACUUCAGCCAAAAGAUGUCCUUAAAUGCAUGUAAGGCUGGACACAAAAUACAUGAUUUUUUUAAACCAGAUUUGUCCCCAAUUAGCUCCGGUAUAAAGCACAUUAUAGUUAUUUUUCCCCGCAGGAUCCUACGAGGGAACUAGGCUAGUGCAACAGCUGACAUGCAUAAUUAAGUACUUUAAGAAAUCCUGUAUUGUGUUUUUUUCAAACAUUUAUUGACCAGUUGCCUGAAGUAGUCUGCCUCCAUCCCCCUCUUAUGCUGUAGUCAGCAGGAAUGAAGAAAAAAAAAAAAAAAAAAAAAAAUUCCCAUCACAAUUGACCCAUUUUCUGACCCGAUCCAGCGUCUCGAGAAUGAACACAUUGACGGCCUUGUGCGUCCAGAAAAAAAAAAAAAAA